UGGGGAAUAUUGCACAAUGGGCGCAAGCCUGAUGCAGCCAUGCCGCGUGUAUGAAGAAGGCCUUCGGGUUGUAAAGUACUUUCAGUCGGGAGGAAGGUGGUAAGGUUAAUAACCUUGGCAAUUGACGUUACCGACAGAAGAAGCACCGGCUAACUCCGUGCCAGCAGCCGCGGUAAUACGGAGGGUGCAAGCGUUAAUCGGAAUUACUGGGCGUAAAGCGCACGCAGGCGGUUGAUUGAGUCAGAUGUGAAAUCCCCGGGCUUAACCCGGGAAUUGCAUCUGAAACUGGUCAGCUAGAGUCGUGUAGAGGGGGGUAGAAUUCCAUGUGUAGCGGUGAAAUGCGUAGAGAUGUGGAGGAAUACCGGUGGCGAAGGCGGCCCCCUGGACGAAGACUGACGCUCAGGUGGGAAAGCGUGGGGAGCAAACAGG
rnacentral:rRNA from 1 species